rnacentral:lncRNA from 1 species
UCGAGAGCAAAAAAGUGUGACAAGGAGUCUGUCAGGUCACUGCUAGACCACCCCAGUAGAGCAAAGCCAACUGAGAACGAUCCUCCAUUGCAAUCGACCACUACCAAUUGAUUGUGGCCGAGCUAUUAAUCACGCUCUGAUCUAGCAAGUCAUGUUUCAUCCACCAGACUUGGUUUCCUGUCUCCUUAGAAAUCAAGGAUACAGAGGUACGUCCUACAGAACAGAUCCUGUUCAAGUAAGGUCGUAUCCUUCGUGCAAUAGGCGUGCAUAUAAAAACUGGAAAG